rnacentral:tRNA from 1 species
UAAAGGUUAGUUUAAUAAAAAAUUUUGACCUGUGGAGUCAUAGAUAAUCUGAGAUUACCUUUAU